AGCAGCAGCAGAGUCAACAGAGGACAAGAAGCCAGAGUAGAGUAACAGUAGCAGCAGCAGAGUCAACAGAGGACAAGAAGCCAGAGUAUAGUAACAGUAGCAGCAGCAGAGUCAACAGAGGACAAGAAGCCAGAGUAGAGUAACAGUAGCAGUAGCAGAGUCAACAGAGGACAAGAAGCCAGUAACAGUAGAGUAACAGUAACAGCAGCAGAGUCAACAGAGGACAAGAAGCCAGAGUAUAACAGCAGCAGCAGAGUCAACAGAGGACAAGAAGCCAGAGUAGAGUAACAGUAGCAGCAGCAGAGUCAACAGAGGACAAGAAGCCAGAGUAGAGUAACAGUAGUAACAGCAGCAGAGUCAACAGAGGACAAGAAGCCAGCAUAGAGUAACAGUAGCAGCAGCAGAGUCAACAGAGGACAAGAAGCCAGAGUAGAGUAACAGUAGCAGCAGCAGAGUCAACAGAGGACAAGAAGCCAGAGUAGAGUAACAGUAGCAGCAGCAGAGUCAACAGAGGACAAGAAGCCAGCAUAGAGUAACAGUAGCAGAGUCAACAGAGGACAAGAAGCCAGAGUAGAGUAACAGUAGCAGCAGCAGCAGAAGGAUGUGAGAUCAGACCCGGUCAGUUUAAUAGACCAACAGAAUAAGAUGGUGGUGAAUGAUACUAGUCUCUAAUUGGACACUCAGGUUUCCUUCCUGAACUGGCCUACUGUUCUUGUGUACUUAUCUGUUUACUAUCUGUAGAUUGUAUUGCUUGUCUUUUUCUAUGGAAUUUUGCCAAUUCCAGAUUUUUAAUAACAUAUUAAGUAUUGAUUUGUCUUAAUGACACAAAAAUUAAUUAUAUUGACAAGAGUUUUAAAUAUUUGUAUCUCUGGAGUUCCUGAUGUGUUAAAAUAUGUUUUACUUUGUAUUGCUGUCAGUCAUUACUGGUCAUUUUAUAUUUUAUAUUAUGUAAUACCAUAUUGUUCAGUGUUAUGAUAUUGCUUGUUUUAUUUUCAAAUUAUUAAUGAUUCAUUAGUACAUUUAUUUGAGAUACAUUGAAUACAGUAUAAGCAUC
ensembl:lncRNA